UCAACCGAGAUUCCCCCAGUAGCGGCGAGCGAACGGGGAGGAGCCCAGAGCCUGAAUCAGUGUGUGUGUUAGUGGAAGCGUCUGGAAAGGCGCGCGAUACAGGGUGACAGCCCCGUACACAAAAAUGCACAUGCUGUGAGCUCGAUGAGUAGGGCGGGACACGUGGUAUCCUGUCUGAAUAUGGGGGGACCAUCCUCCAAGGCUAAAUACUCCUGACUGACCGAUAGUGAACCAGUACCGUGAGGGAAAGGCGAAAAGAACCCCGGCGAGGGGAGUGAAAAAGAACCUGAAACCGUGUACGUACAAGCAGUGGGAGCCUCUUUAUGGGGUGACUGCGUACCUUUUGUAUAAUGGGUCAGCGACUUAUAUUCUGUAGCAAGGUUAACCGAAUAGGGGAGCCGAAGGGAAACCGAGUCUUAACUGGGCGUUAAGUUGCAGGGUAUAGACCCGAAACCCGGUGAUCUAGCCAUGGGCAGGUUGAAGGUUGGGUAACACUAACUGGAGGACCGAACCGACUAAUGUUGAAAAAUUAGCGGAUGACUUGUGGCUGGGGGUGAAAGGCCAAUCAAACCGGGAGAUAGCUGGUUCUCCCCGAAAGCUAUUUAGGUAGCGCCUCGUGAAUUCAUCUCCGGGGGUAGAGCACUGUUUCGGCAAGGGGGUCAUCCCGACUUACCAACCCGAUGCAAACUGCGAAUACCGGAGAAUGUUAUCACGGGAGACACACGGCGGGUGCUAACGUCCGUCGUGAAGAGGGAAACAACCCAGACCGCCAGCUAAGGUCCCAAAGUCAUGGUUAAGUGGGAAACGAUGUGGGAAGGCCCAGACAGCCAGGAUGUUGGCUUAGAAGCAGCCAUCAUUUAAAGAAAGCGUAAUAGCUCACUGGUCGAGUCGGCCUGCGCGGAAGAUGUAACGGGGCUAAACCAUGCACCGAAGCUGCGGCAGCGACGCUUAUG
rnacentral:rRNA from 1 species